AUUGAACGCUGGCGGCAGGCCUAACACAUGCAAGUCGAGCGAGCGGCGGAAGGGUGAGUAAUGUAUGGGGACUGCCCGAUAGAGGGGGAUAACUACUGGAAACGGUGGCUAAUACCGCAUACUAUCGGAUAACCCAUAUGGGAUUAGCUAGGAGGGGGGGUAAAGGCUCACCUAGGCGACGAUCUCUAGCUGGUUGGCGAGGAUGAUCAGCCACACUGGGACUGAGACACGGCCCAGACUCCUACGGAGGCAUCAGUGGGGAAUAUUGCACAAUGGGCGCAAGCCUGAUGCAGCCAUGCCGCGUGUAUGAAGAAGGCCUUAGGUUUGUAAAGUACUUUCAGCUGGGAGGCGUUACCCGCAGAAGAAGCACCGGCUAACUCCGUGCCAGCAGCCGCGGCAAUAC
rnacentral:rRNA from 1 species